AGCAGCCGCGGUAAUUCCAGCUCCAAUAGCGUAUAUUAAAGUUGUUGUAGUUAAAAAGCUCGUAGUUGAAUUUCGAGAUCGGUUUAUUGGUCGUGCUAUUGUACGUACUGGUAUUACCGGUUUCUCUUUUCUGACGAACCUUAAUGCCAUUAAUUUGGUGUUUUGGGAAAUCAGGACUGUUACUUUGAAAAAAUUAGAGUGUUUAAAGCAGGCUCACGCUUGAAUACAUUAGCAUGGAAUAACGGAAUAGGACGUUUGAUUCUAUUUUGUUGGUUUCUAGGAUCGACGUAAUGAUUAAUAGGGAUAGUUGGGGGCAUUAGUAUUCAAUUGUCAGAGGUGAAAUUCUUGGAUUUAUUGAAGACUAACUACUGCGAAAGCAUUUGCCAAGGAUGUUUCAUUAAUCAAGAACGAAAGUUAGGGAUCGAAGACAAUCAGAUACCGUCGUAGUCUUAACCAUAAACUAUGCCGACUAGGGAUCGGAUGAUGUUAAUUUUUAUGACUCAUUCGGCGCCUUACGGGA
rnacentral:rRNA from 1 species